CCUACGGGAGGCAGCAGUGGGGAAUAUUGCGCAAUGGGCGAAAGCCUGACGCAGCGACGCCGCGUGAGGGAUGAAGGUCUUCGGAUCGUAAACCUCUGUCAGCAGGGAAGAACGGUCACUGUGCUAAUCAGCAGUGAAUUGACGGUACCUGCAAAGGAAGCACCGGCUAACUCCGUGCCAGCAGCCGCGGUAAUACGGAGGGUGCGAGCGUUAAUCGGAAUUACUGGGCGUAAAGCGCUCGUAGGCGGUAUGUCAAGUCAAGGGUGAAAUCCCCGCGCUCAACGUGGGAACUGCCUUUGAAACUGGCAAACUGGGGUGUGUGAGAGGAUAGUGGAAGUCCAGGUGUAGGAGUGAAUGCCGUAGAUAUCUGGAGGAACAUCAGUGGCGAAGGCGACUAUCUGGCACAUAACUGACGCUGAGGAGCGAAAGCGUGGGUAGCAAACAGGAUUAGAUACCCCUGUGUC
rnacentral:rRNA from 1 species